rnacentral:lncRNA from 1 species
UUUUUUUUUUUUUUUUUUUUUUUUUGCAGAAACCUAGACCUAUAAGUUUAGUACCUGAAUCUCUUGCUGAUUCAUGCAUUUCUAUUAAUCUUCUCAGUCAGAUGUUUAGCUCAGAUCUGUCCUCUUAUCCAAGCUUUUCCAAGAGUCUCCUAGCUACACUUCUGGCAUCAUGUUACACCCUACAAUCCAGCUCUUCACAGUCUCCUGACUUCUUUUUAAAAGUUGCAUACUAUAUAUACAUCUCUCUCUUGCUUAACAUUCCUCAGUUAUUCCCUAGUGGACACAGAAUAAAGUCUAGCUUCUUAGCAUGUUACUUGGGCUCCUUCAGUGCCAGUCCCCACAAAUUCCUCACUCAUCUUGCAGAAGCUCCCAGUUUUCAAUAUUCUCCUAAAUGCUGUGGAACCUCUGUCUAUGCAGGAUUCUAAAGAUGAGGAAAAUUAGUCCCUUAAGACUCAGCUUAAGCAUUGCCCCUUGUGCCUUUACUGUUAGUUUGCCCCUCUGUUCUUAAGAGUUUAUUCCUGGCAUUGCUCUUAAGGGAAGGAAGUUUGGCAGGGCCAAGAGUCCUAAACGUUAGACCUUUCUCUCUAAACACUAACAACAUUAAAACUCCAUUCAAGAAGGAGCAAAAGAAGCCAUCAUCUAGAAACAAUGUUGAUAACCACAGUUCCUGAACUUGGGCUUGUUAAAAGACUUUAUCUCCAUGAGUAUACUGAAACACAUAUUUAGUUUAUCUCCUAUUAUCAAGAAAGAAAUAUUAAAACUUCACUGUUGAGGAUCACUCUGAAUAUGAAAGUGCUCAAGACAAUCAAUCAGGUCUCGAGAUCUAGAAAUUAGUAUAAGUACUGAGUGCUAGGGGAAAAAAAUUAUACUCUUCAAACUACAUCCCUGGGAGUGUUAGUGAUGUCAUAAUUCACUGAGGAUCUAGAAACUACAGGAUGGAUACUUAUAAAAGAUAAGGGAAGUAUAGUGCAUAGGUUGCUGAGAGGUGGAGAGAAAGUUGCUUACUUUUCCUGAGCCUCAACUUUCUGAAAACAUAGAAACACAAUUAGAUGAUGAGUUAUGAGGUGAAGGAGGGGAUGACUCAGCAGCAAUGUGCCAGCUCCAUAGUGACUUCUCCACCAAGCUGGAGAAGGAUUUGCAGCAAUGGUUCCAGAACCAACUGUGUGUAUCUACAGGAUGAAGAAACUAAGGCAACAAGCAGGAUACAUCCAGCUGUGCUACCUGGGAGGAGUCCUCUCUUCUAUAAUCAAACUCAACAGAAACAGGCCCUUGCUUCUGGGACAUCAAACAUGAAGAGGCUCCUGUUCUGCAGAAAAUAAAUAAGGCGAUAUCAAAGAUUUGUAGAAAUUUUGAUUAAGACACUUUCUCAGUCUUUCCACAUAGCAGACACUGAACUACUGACAUGUGCUGUAGCUAGAAUUGAGCCUGUGGACUUUUAUCUUUGCCUUUGAAUUCUGUUAUAUUGACAUUAAUUUGGACACUCAAUAAAAAAUUAACAAAAUAGGGAUCCUUGCAUGAACCUAA